ACACAACAAUCCGCUCCUCGGUAAAACGCAACUCCCAAACUUUGAAAUCUUUCUUGUCCAGCAGUAUCCCAAAUCUAUAUAAUGUACCAAGAGAUUG
rnacentral:sRNA from 1 species